ensembl:lncRNA
UUUACCGAAAAUCACGCGUUUUCUCUUCGAGAAUCCCCCAUUUAACCGAAAAUCACGCGUUUUCUCUUCGCAAAUCCCCCAUUUAACCCGAAAAUCACGCGUUUUCUCUUCGAGAAUCCCCCAUUUAACCCGAAAAUCACGCGCUUUCUCUUCAAGAAUCCCCCAUUAAACAAAAAAUCACGCGUUUUCUCUUCGAGAAUCCCGUUUAUCUCAAAAAUGACGCAUCUUUUCUUCUAAAAUCCCCCAUUUAAUCCGAAAAUCACGCGUUUUCUCUUUGAGAAUUUCCCAUUUAACCAAAAAAUCACGCGUUUUCUCUUCAGAAAUCCCCCAUUUAACUCGGAAAUCACACUUCUCCUCCUCGGAAAUCCACCAUUUAAGGGAAAAUCACGUGUUUUCUCUUCAGAAAUCCCUCAUUCAAGCGACAAUCACGUGCUUUUUCAUUGAGAUUCCCACGUUUAACAUGAAAAUCACGCGGUUUCUCUUCGAGAAUCCCCCAUUUAAGCAAAAAUCGUUUGUUUUUUCUUCUGAAAUACCCCAUUUAACCCAAAAAUCACGUGGUUUCUCAUCAGGAAUCCCCCAUGUAAGUGAAAAUCACGCGUUUUCUCUUCGGAAAACGCCCAUUUAACUCGAAAAUAUUGUGUUUUCUCUUCGAGAAUCCCCCAUUUAAGCAAAAAUCAUGUGUUUUCUCUUUGGAAAUCCACCAUUUAACCCGAAAAUCACGUGCUUUCUCUUCAAGAAUCCCUUGUUUCACCCGAAAAUCAUGCUUUUUCUCUUCAGAAAUUCCCCAUUUAACUGAAAAUCAUGUGUUUUCUCUUCAGGAAUCCCCCAUUUAAGCAAAAAUCACGUGCCUUCUCUUCAAGAAUCCUAUAUUUAUGUGAAAAUCACACAUUUUCUCUUCUAAAAUCCCCCAUUUAACCCAAAAAUCAUGUGUUCUCUAUUCAGAAAUCCCGCAUUUAACACAGAAAUCACGCAUUUUCUUUUUGAGAAUUCACCAUUUAACCCGAAAAUCACGCAUUUUCUCUUAGAGAGUCCACCAUCUUACCCGAAAAUCACGCAUUUUCUCUUCGAGAAUCC